CUUGUACUGCCUCCGUCCGAAAAUACUUGUCAUUGAAAUGGAUGUAUCUAGAUGUAUUUUAGUUCUAGACACAUCCAUUUUGAUGACAAGUAAUUCCGUACGGAGGGAGUACUUG
rnacentral:pre_miRNA from 1 species